UGCAAAGAUAGAACCUUCUCCUCCCUCUUCUCAGACCUCAAGGCUUUAUGUUAAAUGGGACAAAUCACAUCCUUCGUAGUUCUGUUUGGUACAGCUGCUGGCUGCAGGUGGUGCCCUAAAAAUAUAUUGCUUGUUUAUUUUGCAAUAGAGCAGUCUGCAGCGUGGUACAUAAAAGUGCAAAUGCUCCCCUCUGCUCUGCCCGUGAAGCACAUGAUGGGAGGCUAAGGCCAUUGCCAAACCUAGCACGCGAAAGUCCACUCAGAGGAGACAUAGGUAGCGAGCGCAGGAGGACGGCUCCUGACAUCCAGUGACAUACACGAAGGCACUCAGCAAAUACUUCUUGAGUGACUAAGCAAGUAUCAAGCUGCUUCUGGCACAGAGAAGAGGAAGAAAUGCACACGCAAUGAAAAACUUUAGAUUGACUCCAUCCAGUGUCAUAUCACCAUUUGAAAACUGCAAACUUUCACCCACUGAAACCCGAGCAGUAAGUCUGAGGAGAGCUCUUUAGCCUGGAUACAGAGUGCAAGUAUGUGAUAAAUUGAAACCAGAAAAGGAAAUCAUCUUUCUCCAUGAGUAUGGAAUCAAAUUCAUUCCAUAUAAAUGAGAGGUGGCUUCUUCAGGAGUUCGAGUCAGCAGGGAAGGAGCAAAGUUGCCAGACCACAGAGGGUGACCACUAAUUAGGUUUUGCUGAGGAUCUCUGCCCUAGGGCAGGUAGCCUGUGUACAAUAUAAGGACAGAACAAGGGUUAAUGAGCUCAUCCCUGCCUGCUUGCCAUGGACUAUUUCUCUUCUGCAAUGAUCUUCUCCCAUGUUACCUAACUAUGCCCUGAAACCUUUACAAAUUGUGAGCCAAAUAAACCUUU